rnacentral:lncRNA from 1 species
AUGGAGAUGAAACCCCACCAAACCAAGGGCGGUCACCGCGUCACCCAAUUCCUCACCUACAACUGCCUGGCGGUGAGCAGGGUGGGGGGGGGGGGGGGGGGGGGAGGGAUCCCUUCACCCCAUCCUCACCGCGUUGUCCCUCCUCACGUCCCCGUGUCCCCUCCAGACGGACGCAGACCUUUACAGCGAGUGUCUCCGGAGCUUCUGGACGUGUCCCCACUGCGGGCUCCACGCACCCUUCACCCCCAUGGAGCGAGUCUGCCACGAGAACGCCUGCCGGCCGCCCGACGCCCCCCCAGAAGAGGAACCCCAGAGCUGCCCCCAGAGCUCAGCCCUGCAGCGCCCGUACCGCUGCGAUGUGUGCCAGCAGGAUUUCUCCUUCACCCCCACCCAGAUCCUCCGGCACCGACGGCAGCACCGCUGAUGGGAGAAACCCCAAAUGGAUUUGGGACAUCCCGAAAACGAAACGAUUCUCCUCGCUUCCAGCCCAGACCGGCGGCGUUUCUCCCCUCUCUCAGAGUUCACCUUCACGCUUCUCAGGCCGCCUUAAUGAGGAGGUGGAAUUAAUAGAUUAAUGGUGGCUCAUCAAUGCGAUGUGUGACAUCGGUGCGACGCGGGCGGACCCCUCCGCGGCCCUGGUUUGGUGGUCCUGCAGGGCUGACGUGGAGAAAUUUGGCGUCGCUGGGCACAAAACGUGGGGGGUUUCAUCCCAUCCCAUUCCCUGACCCCAGUCCCUCAUCUGUUCCAUUCCCCAUCCCAUUUCCAUCCCAUUUCCAUCCCAAAUUCCCCAUCUCAGCUCCAUUCCCCAUCCCAGUUCCAUCCCAAAUUCCCCAUCUCAGCUCCAUUCCCCAUCCCAAACCCCAAUUUCGUUCCCCAUCCCCGAUCCCUCAUUCCAUUUCCAUCCCAUCCCCAAUCCCCGUCCCAUCCCCAGUUCCCAUCCCAAUUCCGUUCCCCAUCCCAAUCCCAUCCCAAAUCCGUU